rnacentral:lncRNA from 1 species
UAAACCAAGUACAUCAACACCUAUUCUAACAACAGAAGCAAAUAUAACAUAAUUCAAAAAUUGGUUUGCCUCCCAGGUAGCACUUGUUUAACGUCACGAGCCUGACCCAAACCUUUCCAGCACUUGUCAGUAAGUGCAUACCUUUCCAACACCCUUCAGUAGGUGUGCUUCCUGUAUCCUUCAGUAGAUACCUAAAUCUUCUAGCAUCUCUCAGUAGAUGCUAUCCCAGUAGCAUUCAUCAGUCA